CCGUGCUAAGUGGGGAGCCAGCGGUGCCCUUAACCUGCAAUCCGCUACAGCAGGGCUGAAAGCCGUUCUCGGCACAGGUCGUGGAAGGUAAGUUGCAAGUAAGCGGUGUUGACCCCGGGGUCUUGUGCAACGCUUUACUGUGAACCGUGUCAGGGCUUGACCGCAGCAGCACUAAGCAGCUCUUGGCGUGUGCCACAAGUGAGCUUCGGGCGAGCAGGCUGCUUGCGAGACUCUU
rnacentral:SRP_RNA from 2 species